AGGUCGAAUACACAUACGAAUACCACGGUCAUCCUCCAAUAAACGAAAAAGAUCGGUGGUCCUGCCAGACAACAUGAAAAUAGUACAGUCUAAAGCUGCCAAUUGUCAUGGUGCCUCUGUCAGUCUCUUCCCCCUCUCCUCUCCACCCGACUGCUGAUCAUCCCCAGCUGCGACCACUCACCUCAUCACCCUCGGCUGCCUACUUAAGGAGCUCCAGGACCUUCAUUCCCCGCCAGUCUGUUGCCCCUGAUGGAAUCUCCUACCACGAGUGGUCGCGUUUCUUCCUCUGCCCGGAUCUCCAGUUGGGUCUCCUCUCCACGGUCACACCACGAGCCUCUGCCUCUGUUCCACGUUCCUGCUUCCAAGACGGCCUUCUCCCUCUUAGAGGACAAGAUCGCCAAUUACGCCUACUGCCUCUGCCUCCUGCUCGGAGUCCACUUCCUGUCCUGUUCAGGAUCCUACCUCCUCGCCUCACUAUUAAAGCCGUUACCUACCACGCUAACUUUCUGCUGUGUUUCUUCCGGGUUCCAGCGUCUGGGUCGUUACGUGUUCUGUAGCCAUGACACCAAUAACUUUACAAGAUCAUCCUAAACAUUCUGUAUUGAAAGUGAACGUGCGCAGAUCUUCCUAAAAUGUUUUCUAGAAGUUCUCCUUUAUUAACUGACAGUUAUAAUCUACUUGUGAAAAGUCACAUUCUUUUUUUUCCAGCUCUGUUGGUGCAAUUGUAACACAGCAGUUAACAGGCAUCUCGCCUUAUCCAGUAUGGCAUACAACUUUGCAUUUGCUACAAGCAAGCAUAGUGACUCUAGCUUAUAUGGCUCAAAAACAAACAACCACUUACAUUCACAUUUGAUCUUAUUCCACAAAUGGGAAUAUAAUAUAAAAACAGAAUAUUUUGAUCCAUCCUUUUUUUCUUAACUCGCUUUAAUCCUUUCGUGGUCACGAGGCUGCCAGGGCCUGUUCCAGGGUCACACACUCACUCACAUCCAGGGGCAAUUUAGAGACACCAAACAACCCAUGAAGCAUGUUUUUAGACUGUGGGAGGAAACCAGAAUACCCAGAGACAAUCCACGCAAGCACAAGGAGAAUAUGCAAACUCCAAACAGAAAUCCUUACCCUGGAAUUUGAACUAGGGCCUUCUUGCUGCGAGGUAAGAGCAUUAACCACUGUGUCAUUGUGCAAGAUAGUUCUCAUCUUUAGAACAUAGCAAGAGUCUGACUGUUUUUCUCUCUAGGCAGCACAGAGACACCAAUGCAUGCCUUGAUUUCUAGUAGAAUAGUUAAUGUGAUGCCCUGCUUUCUAGUUUCUCCAAAAAAAAAAAAAAA